rnacentral:sRNA from 1 species
AUGCAAAAUUGUAUACAACAAAAUGUGACAAUUAUUUCAUCAUAAAGGGUCAUAGUAAUGAAUCUAGGUUAUAUGAAACGGACAUUGGCAUUAAUUCAUCAUUAUGGCAUUGGAAGGGCUGCCAGAUCAUGGUAUUUAACCGUGACAAUAAUGUCAUCACGGGAUAUUGGCAGUAAAGCACGGUUGUGUUGGAUAUAUCAUGACAUGUAAUAACCAGUGUUAUGACAACAGUUCAUCAUAUUGAGGGCGUCUGUUGUGAUGCUUGAUCACGUGUAACAAUUUAUGAAUAUGAUUUUAUCAUUAAAUUACCGGAGGCGUGUUCAACAGAGCGAGCCCUCGCCAAAAUUUCCUAUUCCCGCAGCACAAAUUUUGGCGAGCGCUCGCAAGCGCUCUCUCGGCUAAACACGCUCCGAUAUGGUGCUAUGGACACGUGGUGUCUAAUUUGGUUGUGUCAGCGAGAUGCUUGCUAGUUUGUUAGAAACUGCGUUCACAAAUUAAGCAUGUAAUAAUCAGUUAAAUAGUAUUAGUGAGAUAGGGACGACUGAAUGAUAUAAAUUUGUUCUUGAUAGAUAGAGUUUAUGGCGAGAUUCCUGUUUAGUGGGAGUAUAGAAUGAGAUACAUGUAUUUGUUAUUAUAAUGAUGAGUGUUUAGUUUGGAGUACUGAGAGAAAGUGCUUGAUAUAUAACCCUGGGUGAGAGACAUUAAAAAUCAUAUUACAAACACAGAGCGGUUCAGAAUUACGUAAAAUUACGUUAGGAGUUUUGAGUGGAUAUGAAUUACAUGUAUAAGUAAAUUAUAUAAGUUAGGAGCAAUAGAUAUGUAAUUACGUGAUAUUAAUGAGGAGUGUUGCCAGAGAUGCACUAUAUACUGUAAAUGAAAUAUUGAGAAACACCUGUUAUAUAUAUACAUAAGAGUAUUGGUUAGAUAAGUGAUAGUUUAUUGUGCUUGAUAGUUUUUUUUAAAAAAAUAGAGAAUUAAUUUUUUUAAAAAUUAUUUUGUGAAGUGAUACACUGUAUGACUCUUACAUUGUAAACUUUGUACGGUAGAACAACGGUGAAACUCUACAAAUUCAUACUGUAACUAUGCAUGAAAAAAUUAUUGAACUUUAUUUUAAAGGGGCAUGGUCACGAUUUUGGUCAAAUUCUACUUUUCUGUUUUUACUAUUAACAAUGCUUUAGAAAUGCAUUUCUAAUGAUCAAAUAAAAUUUGAGAGUCACUUGUAGAGUUAUAAGCAAGAUACUGGGCUCACAAUUCUUUGUCAUGUAAACAAGGCUCGUGCCCUGUUUUUGUUUACAUAGGUUCAAUAUACCAGUAAAAAAUCUUUUUCCAGCUUAUUUAUCUAUCUUUUUAUUCAUUUUAAGCAUAGAUAAAUAGUUCCUAGCAUUUAAUACAUUCAUUUUAGGUUUAAAACUGAAAAUUUUACUUCAUCGUUCAAAAUGUAAACAAACGCUUUGUGUACAUAACGAAGAAUUUCAAGCUCUGUAACUCGCUUAUAAGUCAACAAAUGACACUCAAACUUCGGUUGCCUAUUAAAAAUACCUUUCUGAAGUAUUGUAAAUAUUAAAAUCGGAAAAAUAAUUUUUGACCAAAAUCGUUACCAUGCCCUUAAAGGGUAUUUGUGAAUACGCAAUCAGUGUAUGGAUUUAUUGACUAGAUCUGUGGGAAAAAUAAUCAAGAAUAGUGAAAAUCGCAUUACGGAUGUGAAAGGGUGGUAAAUUUCUAAUGGGAGUGAGUAAGUUUUCCAGUUCAGAUUACUCAUUUAGAGUAGGAUACUGUCGUUGCGUCGAGUGACUUAAAUACUUGUAAACAUUUACUUAGUGCAUGUUUGUACAUCCCUGUUUUGUUUUGUUUAUAUUGGGAUUAUAUCACUGAACAUUUGUAUCAAGCCCGUGCCAAAGAUGUCAAAAUAUGUACAUUCAUUCACAAUAAAGUUGAAAAA